rnacentral:pre_miRNA from 14 species
UCUUCGGAGACAAGGGUGGUCACUGAUCCCACCCCCAGAGCAGGGAGACCCUCACUCAAGUCUCGGGAUGAUGCGACCCCCCAAGAACUCACAUGAGACC